AUUGAACGCUGGCGGCAGGCCUAACACAUGCAAGUCGAACGAGUGGCGGACGGGUGAGUAAUGCCUGGGAAACUGCCUGAUGGAGGGGGAUAACUACUGGAAACGGUAGCUUAUACCGCAUACCAUCGGAUGUGCCCAGGUGGAAGUAGCGAGUAGGUGGGGUAAAGGCUCACCUAGGCGACGACCCCUAGCUGGUCUGAGAGGAUGACCAGACACGCUGGAGCUGAGACACGGACCAGACGCCAACGGGAGGCAGCAGUGGGGAAUAUUGGACAAUGGGCACAAGCCUGAUGCAGACAGGCCGCGUGUAUAAAGAAGGCCUUCGGGUUGUAAGGUACGUUCAGCGGGGCGGCGUUACCCGCAGAAGAAGCACCGGCUAACUCCGUGCCAGCCGCCGCGGUAAUAC
rnacentral:rRNA from 1 species